GAUGAACGCUGGCGGCGUGCCUAAUACAUGCAAGUCGAGCGAACAGACGAGGAGCUUGCUCCUCUGACGUUAGCGGCGGACGGGUGAGUAACACGUGGAUAGCCUACCUAUAAGACUGGGAUAACUUCGGGAAACCGGAGCUAAUACCGGAUAAUAUAUUGAACCGCAUGGUUCAAUAGUGAAAGACGGUUUUGCUGUCACUUAUAGAUGGAUCCGCGCCGCAUUAGCUAGUUGGUAAGGUAACGGCUUACCAAGGCAACGAUGCGUAGCCGACCUGGGAGGGUGAUCGGCCACACUGGAACUGAGACACGGUCCAGACUCCUACGGGAGGCAGCAGUAGGGAAUCUUCCGCACUGGGCGAAAGCCUGACGGAGCAACGCCGCGUGAGUGAUGAAGUUCUUCGGAUCGUAAAACUCUGUUAUUAGGGAAGAACAAAUGUGUAAGUAACUAUGCACGUCUUGACGGUACCUAAUCAGAAAGCCACGGCUAACUACGUGCCAGCCGCCGCCGUAA
rnacentral:rRNA from 1 species